GCCUUCUCCACGACACGAUGCUUGUUUAUGAUUGUUGAUGAUGAAGAAUGCCCUUAUGCUAUUUAUGAAUUUGGAAAUAUUUAAUGAGCAAAUGAUAUGAAAGAAACUCAUGCCUCUUAUGCGAUGUUGUGUUUUGUUGUUGAUGUUAUGUUAUAUGCUUGGCAACUGCCCACUAAGUACUUUUGUACUUAGCCCUUCGAUGUUUAUGAUUGUGCAGGUUGAGCUGUGAUGGGCGAUGAAGUGUUGCUGAGUGGAGUUUUUGUCGAACUUAAAGUAGGCUCAGAAAGGAUACAUGUCUUCAUACAUGUAUCUCAGUUAUGCAUUCCGCUGUAAACCCUGAUUAUUUCAGUUACGCCUUCCGUUGCAAACUCUGAUAAUGUUUUAGCCAAGCCCCUAACGAUGCCUUUUUCCUUUUAAGGAAUAUAACGCG
rnacentral:lncRNA from 1 species